UACGUAGGGGGCGGGCGUUGUCCGGAGUUACUGGGCGUAAAGCGCACGCAGGCGGUCUGCGAAGUUUGGAGUGACAGUUGGUGGCUCAACCACCAAAGUGCUUUGAAAACUGACAGACUUGAGGGCUUCAGAGGGACACGGAAUUCCGGGUGGAGUGGUGAAAUGCGUAGAGAUCCGGAGGAACACCAAAGGCGAAGGCAGUGUCCUGGGGAGUACCUGACGCUCAGGUGCGAAAGCCAGGGGAGCGAACGGG
rnacentral:rRNA from 1 species